UGUACAACUCUGAGCGGCGUAUCACACGGCUCGCACGUCGAUGAAGAAUUU
rnacentral:rRNA from 1 species